rnacentral:sRNA from 1 species
GUGAGGGGGUGACUAGUGGCAGAGUGAGGGAAGGAAGGGGUUACUAGUGACAGAGUGAGGGGAUGACUGGUGACAGAGGGAGGGAGGGAGUGGGUGACCAGUGACAGAGGGAGGGAGGGAGGGAGUGGGUGACUAGUGACAGAGGGAGGGGGUGACACAGUGACAGAGUGAGGGAGGUGGUGACUGUCACUAGUCACCACCUCCCUCACUCUGUCACUAGUCACCCCUUCCCUCCCUCACUCUGUCACUAGUCACCCCUUCCCUCCCUCACUCUGUCACUAGUCACCCCCUCCCUCUCUCUGUCACUAGUCACCCCCACCCUCUCUCUGUCACUAGUCACACCCUCUCUCACUCUGUCACUAGUCACACCCUCCCUCAC